AACGAACGCUGGCGGCAUGCCUAACACAUGCAAGUCGAACGAGACCUUCGGGUCUAGUGGCGCACGGGUGCGUAACGCGUGGGAACCUGCCCUUAGGUUCGGAAUAACUCCCCGAAAGGGGUGCUAAUACCGGAUAAUGUCUUCGGACCAAAGAUUUAUCGCCUUUGGAUGGGCCCGCGUUGGAUUAGCUAGUUGGUAGGGUAAAAGCCUACCAAGGCGACGAUCCAUAACUGGUCUGAGAGGAUGAUCAGCCACACUGGGACUGAGACACGGCCCAGACUCCUACGGGAGGCAGCAGUGGGGAAUAUUGGACGAUGGGCGAAAGCCUGAUCCAGCAAUGCCGCGUGAGUGAUGAAGGCCUUAGGGUUGUAAAGCUCUUUUACCCGGGAUGAUAAUGACAGUACCGGGAGAAUAAGCUCCGGCUAACUCCGUG
rnacentral:rRNA from 1 species